rnacentral:tRNA from 1 species
AUGCACCCGUAGCUCAGCUGGAUAGAGUACCUGACUACGAAUCAGGGGGUCAGAGGUUCGAAUCCUCUCGGGUGCACCAC